rnacentral:rRNA from 1 species
AUUGAACGCUGGCGGCAUGCCUUACACAUGCAAGUCGAACGUGAAAGCGGGGCAACCCGCAAGUAGAGUGGCGGACGGGUGAGUAAUACAUCGGAACGUGUCCAGUAAUGGGGGAUAACCUAGCGAGAGUUAGGCUAAUACCGCAUACGAUCUGCGGAUGAAAGCGGGGGAUGCGGCACUAAAGGCUUUUGGCGAAGGUGGCCAAAGGUGAGCCAAGAGCUUUUAGUGCNGCACCUCGCGUUAUUGGAGCGGCUGAUGUCUGAUUAGCUAGUUGGUGAGGUAAAGGCUUACCAAGGCGACGAUCAGUAGCUGGUCUGAGAGGACGGCCAGCCACACUGGGACUGAGACACGGCCCAGACUCCUACGGGAGGCAGCAGUGGGGAAUUUUGGACAAUGGGGCAACCCUGAUCCAGCAAUGCCGCGUGAGUGA